rnacentral:rRNA from 1 species
UACGGAGGGUGCGAGCGUUGUCCGGAUUUAUUGGGUUUAAAGGGUGCGUAGGCGGUCCAUUAAGUCUGGGGUGGAAGCCCGCUGCUCAACAGCGGAACUGCCCUGGAUACUGGCGGACUUGAGUACAGACGAGGUUGGCGGAAUGGACGGAGUAGCGGUGAAAUGCAUAGAUACCGUCCAGAACCCCGAUUGCGAAGGCAGCUGACUAGGCUGUUACUGACGCUGAGGCACGAAAGCGUGGGGAGCGAACAGG